CUAAGUACUGGUGCCGCGGGAGUCUUUUUUGUAUACUUCUCCAGCGACCCUGGUGCUUAACA
rnacentral:pre_miRNA from 1 species